rnacentral:lncRNA from 1 species
ACUCGGGCCUCCCAGCACCCUGUGCCUCAAAUAUGAUAAACAUCGCAGCCCUCCUCCCGACCCCGCUCUCCUCUAAGAACUAAAGACUGCUCUCUCGUGCCUACCCUGACCGCCCCAACGCGGCCACCCUGGGUAUAAACCCCUCUCCAGAAGCUCCCAUCCCUCUAAGUGCACCAUAGGAACGGCUCCCAAAGCACCCAAGCGGCACAGCCCUCUACACUUGACACGGUGCGCGCCUCAAAAGCUGGACAGGCUGGCCCCUCAGAAAAGGAGCUGUCUCCCCCGAUAUCCCCCGAAGGCAGCCCCCUGCCCGCAAACUCAGAGUGAGCUCCCCCGCGCCGCCGCAGUGGUAUGGACCGCGGCACCCGCCCCACGUCCCUUCGGAUUAGUCCCCCAGCCCCGCAGCAGCCGCCCCCACUCAGUUCCGGAAAGGGGGGGAGCCACCAGGUCCGUGGUCCCCGCCCGGCGGGCACCGGUGGUACGGCCCAGCGAGGCCCCACGGGGGGCCAGGACGCGACCAUCGCGGAGGGGAGGGUGCUUGGGGACACGCGCUGGCGUACUCACCUGUCACCGGCGGCCG